rnacentral:rRNA from 1 species
UACGUAGGGUGCGAGCGUUGUCCGGAAUUACUGGGCGUAAAGAGCUCGUAGGUGGUUUGUCACGUCGUCUGUGAAAUUCCGGGGCUUAACCUCGGGCGUGCAGACGAUACGGGCAAUACUUGAGCGCUGUAGGGGAGACUGGAAUUCCUGGUGUAGCGGUGAAAUGCGCAGAUAUCAGGAGGAACACCAAUGGCGAAGGCAGGUCUCUGGGCAGUUACUGACGCUGAGGAGCGAAAGCAUGGGUAGCGAACAGGAUUAGA